GCGUGGUUCCCAAUCUCGGCCUAAUUGUCUGCGCCAGCUGGAACCACUUAUCUUCCCUUUAUAUGUUCUGUAACCAGUGCUUCUUGUUGUCAGAUCGUUGUUUCUUCCCUGAGAUUGUGUCGUGUGUCCGUGCUCUUCUCUUGUGUGGAUUAUCUGCUGUGCUCCUUCCUACUCAUCCGGACACACUCCCCUGGUUUUCUCAGCACGUUAUCAUUGGAAGAUGCGCCCGAGUCCCUGGGUCGGAUUCCGUCUGAGUACAGUCUGUCUGCCCUGUUGCUGCUGUGAACUAUAUUCAUUAAACCAUCGUUGCUUGCAUCUUGCAUCCGCCUCUGUGUUGUUACAGCCAGACUUUAAUGACAAAAUUUGCCCACGAAAGACCGCCGUGCCACCUUCCUGUGAGCACAGCACAACAAGGACGCUGACCAAAGGGACGAUCCCGGGGAUCAGGAGAGGACUGGUCGCCUCCGCUGAUGCACGGAAAUCUGACAAACCGGCCGAGGUAUAGGAGCCCAACGAACCAGCUGAGACGGGUCCGGUGUACGCUGUCAGAUCCCUACUGGACUCCCGACGUCGUAGGGGCCGGCACCAGUAUCUGGUGGACUUGGAGGACCUGAGCCCUAGGACCAUGCCUCAGGACUACCUGACAUAAUGACUCCUUGCUGUCCCCAGUCCACCUGGCCGUGCUGCUGCUCCAGUUUCAACUGUUCUGCCUGUGAUUAUUAUUAUUUGACCAUGCUGGUCAUUUAUGAACAUUUGAACAUCUUGGCCAUGUUCUGUUAUAAUCUCCACCCGGCACAGCCAGAAGAGGA